GCCCUGAUAGCUCAGUCCGGCCAGAGCGGCUGCCUUGUAAGCAGUGUCCGUCGCCGGUUCGAAUCCGGCUUGGGGCUC
rnacentral:tRNA from 4 species